UGACUACUGAGAAUUGUCCUUCAAAUCAGACAAAUAAGUAACGAUGCAGAUAUUAUGUACUUAAUAUCUUGUCUACUAAUCGGGUGGCGAUGACAGCUUGGCCCGCGAUCAGAUUACGCAAUAUUAGCCUAAAUAACCACUCGCAUCCGGUAUUAUAUCAAGGUUAGUUGCAAUUUUUGCUACUGUUUUUGUUAUGGCUUUUGAUUAGAUUUCGACUUUUUUCUUUCUUUUUUUUCUUUUUUGGCUUAAGCAGUUCUCACAGAAUGGAAUCUUAGGCAAGUUUAUUACUUUUAUUGAAGCCUCGAGUCGAUUGAGGCUUAAGCUUCCACAGUGUGUGACAAAUAUAAAAUAUAUAUGCAUAUAUAUAUAUAUAUAUAUAUAUAUAUAUAUAUAUUUAUAUUUAUAUUUAUAUAUAUAUAUAUAUAUGCAUGUAUGUAUAUGUGUGUAUAUAUAUAUAUAUAUAUAUAUAUAUAUAUAUAUAUAUAUAUAUAUAUAUAUAUAUACAUAUAUAGAUAUAUAUACAUUUAUAUAUAUAUACAUAUAUAUAUAUAUGUAUAUGUACAUAUAUAUAUACAAAUAGAUAGAUAGAUAGAUAGAUAGAUAGAUAGAUAGAUAGAUAGAUAGAUAGAUAAAAAUUACAGGUCAAUAAGAUGCCAAAUAUUCAACUUGGGAUAACUGCAUAUAAAAAGAUAUAUAUAUAUAUAUAUAUAUAUAUAUAUAUAUACACACACACACACACACGCACAUGUACGUGUUGAUGUGUGAUAAGAAGUUUACUUGUUAAUUACGUGGAUCCGCGUUCAGUCCCACUGCGUGGCUCCUUGAGGAAGUGUCUUCUGCUACAGCCUCGGGCCGAUCAAAAUUUUGUAAGUGGAUUUAGCAGACGGAAAUUGAAAGAAGCCCGUUGUAUAUAUGCAUAUAUAUAUAUAUAUAUAUAUAUAUAUAUAUAUAUAUAUAUAUAUAUAUAUAUACCAAUGUGUGUGUGUCUUUGUGUCUGUGUUCAUCCCCACCACCGUUUGACAACCUGCGCUGGUGUGUUUAGGUUCGCAUAAGUUAACGGUUCGGCGAAACAAUCCGUUAGAAUAAGUACCGCACUUCAAAAAAGUAAUUUCUGGGGUCGAUACAUUCGAUUAAAAAUUCUUCAAGGCGUUGCACCAGCAUGGCCGCAGUCUAAUGACCGAAACAAGUAAAAGAUAUACGAUAUAUAUAAAUAUAUAUAUAUAUAUAUAUAUGUACAUGUACAUAUACAUACACAGUGUAUAGGCGCAGGCGUGACUGUGUGGUAAGAAGUGCUUACCAGCCACAUGGUUCCGGGUUCAGUCCCACUGCAUGGCACCCUCGGCAGGUGUCUUCUACUAUAGCCUCGGGCCGACCAAAUCCUUAUCUGUUGACGGAAACUGAAAGAAGCCCGUUGUAUGUGUGUGUGUGUGUGUGUGUGUAUCUGUGUAUGUGUGAUUCUCCCCCACCCACAUAGAUUGACAACCGAUGUUUGUGUGCUUACGUCCCUGUAACUUAGCGGUUCGGCAACUAAUCGAACUGCAAGAAACAGAAAUUUAAAGGGUUAUAGUUAAUCAUAUCGUUAGCCAGUAGUUUUAUUUCUGUUUGUUGUUAGUUUUAUCCGGCACCAUUUGUCGAACGGCUAGCUACGGAACGUAAAGUGUGACGAGCAUAAAAACGAACAUGGAUUUGUUUAAGACUUUUGUAAACGUAAACUCACCCAUAUGCAUGUGUACGUGUAUGCGCGUGUGUAUAUGUAAUCACACAUGCACACACACACACAAACACACACACACAAAUGUGAUUUUAUAUAUAUAUAUAUAUACCAGAGUACGCACAUAAAUGCGAAACAAGGUGGGAAAAAUAUUACUAGAAUACCAGAGGUAUAAUAAUCCUCUUUUUUAAAACAACAAAAAAAUAUCACAAAAACUGUUACCCAGAGUUUCAUGUUCCCGUUCGUCGGACAGUUUUGUAUAUAAAGCUGUCCGACGAACGGGAACGUGAAACUGUGAGUAACAGUUUUUGUGGUAUUUUUGCUGCUUUUAAUAAAGUGUGUGUGUGUGUGUGUGUGUGUGUGUAUGUGUAUAUAUAUGUAUAUAUAUCGGUAUCGCCUAGGCUAUCGGAUGUUGUUAUACAUCGCUGAUCACCAUGCGUUUCACAUCAUUUUAACUUUCGAAUGAUGCCACUCCACUGGUUAGUCCGUCACAGGAUUACCCAUUUACAGCCGAGUGGACUGGAGCAACGGGAAAUGAAGUGUUUUGCUCUCGAACACAGCGUGCAGCCAGUCUGAGAAUCGAAACCACGAUCUCACAAUCGUAAAUGCGACACCCCAAACCACCAGGCCACGCGCCUUCACGUAUACAUCGGUUAGAUAAAACUCAAAGACAUAUUCUCUGUUGUUUCUUACUUGUUUCAGUCAUUGGGUUGCAACCAUGCUGGAGUACAGCCUCCAAGGGUUUAGUCGAACAAAUUGACCCCAAUACUUAUAUUUUGUAGUUUGAUUGUAAUUCCAUUGGUAUUUUCUGUCGGACCGCUAAUUUACAGGGACAUCAACAAAGUAACGUCAAGCGGUGUUGGGUUAAGCGCAAACCCAAAGACAUAUGCACAAUCCCAUACGUGUGUUCCUAUCUGUGGAAGAGCGUCGGCUCGAAACGUUAAAGACUUUUUCACUUACCGAGCGUUAUACUAAUACAUCUGUUCGUUGUCUACACCACCUGUCUUCGUCUUUUGUUUUUUUUUUGUGAAUUUUCCCCCUAUAAAUAUAUAUACACACUCGCAUAUGUAUGUAUGUAUGUAUGUAUUAUGUAUGUAUGUGUGCAUGCAUGUAUGUAUGCGUGUGUAUGUUUACGAUGAGUUUGCAUACUCUUUCCUUCAACUAAAUUCACUCACAACGCAUCUGUUGGCCCGUGGGUAGAGCCCAAGAUGUGAAGGCACUUGUGGUAGUAGUUAGAGUAUUCAGUUCGAGAAUUUAUGUUCGUGAGUUCGAUUUCCGGUUGCGUGUUGCAUCCCUUGAGCAAGACACUUCAUUUCACGUGGCUUCCGUCAAGUCAACUGACAGAAAUGAGUUGUACUUGUAUUUCAAAGGGCCAGACUGGUCACAUUAUGUGUCACGAUAAAUCUCUUUGAAAACUACGUCAAGGGGUUACGCGUGUCUGCAGAGUUCUCAGCCAUUUGCACGUUAAUUUUGACGAGCAAGGCUGUUCCUUUGAUCGGAUCGCCCGAAACACUCACCGUCGUAACAGACAGACUGCCGAAUAGUUUAAGACACUUACUCAACGUGACGCACUAUAGGAUUGUACUCGAAACAACGUGGCUGGAAAGUGUAUGAAUACAUGUACUUUUUUUUGUUGUUUUUAUUUCUAAGCAGCAGAAAUAGCAAAGUGUCUUAAAGGAUGAGAGUUUCAUGCAUGAUAUAUCUCUUUACUCUUUUACUCUUUUACUUGUUUCAGUCAUUUGACUGUGACCAUGCUGGAGCACCGUCUUUAGUCGAGCAAAUCGACCCUAGGACUUAUUCUUUGUAAGCCUAGUACUCAUUCUGUUGGUGUCUUUUACCGAACUACUAAGUUACGGGGACGUAAACACACCAGCAUCGGUUGUCAAGCGAUGUUGGGGGGACACAGACACACAAACAUAUACACACACACACAUAUAAAUAUACAUAUAUACGGCGGGCUUCUUUUAGUUUCCGUCUACCAAAUCCACUCACAAGGCUUUGGUCGGCCCGAGGAUAUAGUAGAAGAUACUUGCCCAAGGUGCCACGCAGUGGGAAUGAACCCAGAACCAUGUGGUUGGUAAGCAAGGUACUUAUCACACAGCCACUCCUGCGCCUCUAUAAAACUUAUGAGUGAUAUGCGCGAAACGCCCAUUCCCUGAGUUACUUUGCAGUUUCUGCCAUUUGAAGAUAAAAAAUAAUACAAUAUACACUCAUAUAUAAAUGUGUGUGGGUAUGUAUACAUAUGUGUGUGUGUGUAUGUAUGUAUGUAUGUAUGUAUGUAUGUAUGUAUGUAUGUAUGUAUGUAUGUAAUAUAUAUAUAGAGAGAGAGAGUGAGAGAGAAAGAGAGAGAGAGAAAGAGAUAGGGGAGAGAGAAAGCGAGAGACACACACAUACAUACAUAUAUGCACAUAUGUGGUGGUGGUGUGUGUGUUUGUUGUUAUGGUGUAAGAGACUACGAAACAACACCAGCAUUUGUUUGUCUUUCGACCGCUCUAAAGAGACGACCCGCAUGUGGCCUAUACGCCUGCAGGUGUAGCUGUACCACCAGUCAUGUAGCUUUUCUGCGGAAUGGCUUUAAUGUUCUUCAGGGAUCAUUAGAAUUUAUAUAUUCUCAGACCCAAUCCAACUACUUAUAGUUCUAGGUUACUUUGGUGCUAACCACCUAAAAAACUGAUGACGGGGUAAAGGCCGAUGUUGUCAUAAAUAUCCUUAAUUGUAGCCUUUAUGUUAUGUGGCCCUAAAUAUUAUGAUAUGAGCAUCCGAGGAAAUUUAUAAUCCAUCAGGCCAUUCUUCUUUUCCUCGUAGUCUUUCGGUUUUGAAUAUUCCACAUGUAAUGUUGUGGUUUCUAUCUCGACCGACAGAAGAGGUCUUGUUCUACGUAAGAGGUCUUGUUCAGAACAGCCUGAAAAUGGAUUUAUUUUUCGCAAGUAUAAACAGAACCCACGUAUCUUUCGUGAUAUAUAAAUGUGUUACUUUCUUUUAAUCGUACUGGUCUUUAAGUGAAUGAAGUAAGGAGGCAUAUGCCUUUGUUACAUAGCUCUAUCAAGCAGACUUAUUCAUAUUUUGAAACCUGUCUGAUGCAUGUGGCUCCGGAAAACGAAAGAAAACUGGGAUUGUCUUCCUUUAAUCUCAAAUAAAUUUUUCGUUCAUUUUUUUCUCAACGUUUAUGACUAUGUAAUAAUGUGCAAAAGCCUUCAUGUUUCCACUAACAUUUUGGUAGUGCAGAUCAACUGAUCUGCCUUGCACUGUCAUUUUCUUACUACAAGCGAAAAAAGUUUUUACUUCGUAG
rnacentral:lncRNA from 1 species